AACUAGUUGCUCCAUAAUUUGUUGACUCUACUAGCUUACAAUAAGUUGACACAGCAUUUUGGUGAGGAGAGUAAUUAAACUUAUCAUACUUCAGUAACCUUUACUUGAGAAGUAUGAGUGUCUCCACACCCUCCCAACAGUUGGUGGCGGUAAUGCACCAUGCUGGAUGCCAACCGCCAAUACAAAUCAACGAAGAAGAGAUUGCACAUGCGCAGUUCCUCCUGAGACGUUGGAUUUGAACCAUCACGCGGCAAAAGAACGUUUGUCUGGAUUUGGUUUGAAGCGUUAAUGCAGAGACUGCCAAGCAGGAAGUGCACUUCACGCUCCCGCUCAAGGUUCUGUCAGAGUUCUUUCGCUUAACCAGCAAAAACCUCAAAAUCGAGUUUUUCAAAGAACUGGACAAAUACACUCCUCGCUGUCUUGACAUUUUCAAGUCCAAGGGUGGAUGUACCGGCUACUUAAGGCGUAUUUGCAUCAUCAAAUCGCACUGGGGGUACGUUUCUCAUGCACAUUAAUGAUUUAAUGGUGUCAGCAAAAUAGUGUAACCACAUUGUAUUUUCAGAGCUGUUAAUUGAUGGUCCUUGACCAUUUAUGGGUGAUAUGUAUGAAAUUAUCUUUCAGAAUACAGAUGUUACUGCUUAGUAAACAGCAGUCCUCCGUGGCCUUCCCAUCCUCCUUGGAGAUGAGAACAAAGACUUCUUCAAGACAUACUUUGACUGUGAUGAACCGGAACUGGCCAACACCUCCAUUGAGAUCCUAACAGUAAUCCCGGAAGGUACCCCACCUCAAGGAACACACCAGCAUUUUGGGUUUUUAGCUUAUUCACCCGAAUUCCCCAGAGUUAGAUAA